UGCCUAUUGGGGUGCGUUAAGGUUCAAAGUGCAAGCCUCCAGGAAGACGCAGGCCUGGACUCCAAUUAACCAGCGCCUGCGAGACAGCAGAGAUAAUUCAGUCACCUGCUGGGCUAUCCGAAGACGCAAUGUACUCAGGGACGUUCAAUAGCCAUCAGCGAGGCUGGACCUAUGUUGCUUCAACUACCACCUUGGGUUACAAAGCAGCGAGAGGAAUUUUAACUGAAACCGUUCCAGUUCUUCAGCUUCACAGUGGCACCAACGGCACCAUUUGCUCUUGCUGCCUUAGGGGCAUCAAGUAACAAAAUCUGGCCCACUUAAGAAUCUUCCUCUGGAUUAUUAUCAUUCCAAAGUAAGAAAGUUACAGCAAGAAAGAAGUAAUUUUCAACCUCUGGAAUGACUAUUCAAGCCAUAAAGUAUUAUAAAAAGCAAAGAGGGUAUUACUCAAGUAUUCUUUUUUGUUUCUGUCUUUCUUUACCAACUUUAAUUCCAUAUUUCCUCAUCACGGUUUAUACGUCAAGACUCCAGUUUGUC